UGGGGAAUUUUGGACAAUGGACGCAAGUCUGAUCCAGCCAUGCCGCGUGCGGGAAGAAGGCCUUCGGGUUGUAAACCGCUUUUGUCAGGGAAGAAACGAGUUUCUCUAAUACAGAGACUUAAUGACGGUACCUGAAGAAUAAGCACCGGCUAACUACGUGCCAGCAGCCGCGGUAAUACGUAGGGUGCGAGCGUUAAUCGGAAUUACUGGGCGUAAAGCGUGCGCAGGCGGUUAUAUAAGACAGAUGUGAAAUCCCCGGGCUCAAUCUGGGAACUGCAUUUGUGACUGCAUAGCUAGAGUACGGUAGAGGGGGAUGGAAUUCCGCGUGUAGCAGUGAAAUGCGUAGAUAUGCGGAGGAACACCGAUGGCGAAGGCAAUCCCCUGGACCUGUACUGACGCUCAUGCACGAAAGCGUGGGGAGCAAACA
rnacentral:rRNA from 1 species